AGAGUUUGAUCAUGGCUCAGAACGAACGCUGGCGGCGUGCCUAACACAUGCAAGUCGAACGGAAUUAAGGGGCUUGCUCCUUGAUUUAGUGGCGCACGGGUGAGUAAUGCGUAGAUAAUCUACCCAAGGAUCCGGGAUAACAUCUCGAAAGGGGUGCUAAUACCGGAUAAGCCCACGGAGUCUUCGGACUCAGCGGGAAAAGGGGGGGACCUUCGGGCCUUCUGUCCUCGGAUGAGUCUACGUACCAUUAGCUAGUUGGUGGGGUAAAGGCCUACCAAGGCGACGAUGGUUAGCUGGUCUGAGAGGAUGAUCAGCCACACUGGAACUGAGACACGGUCCAGACUCCUACGGGAGGCAGCAGUGGGGAAUUUUGCGCAAUGGGGGAAACCCUGACGCAGCAACGCCGCGUGAGUGAUGAAGGCCUUCGGGUCGUAAAGCUCUGUCAGUGGGAAAGAAAUGUACGAGGGUCAAUACCCCUUGUACUUGACGGUACCCACAAAGGAAGCACCGGCUAACUCCGUGCCAGCAGCCGCGGUAAUACGGAGGGUGCGAGCGUUGUUCGGAAUUAUUGGGCGUAAAGCGCGUGUAGGCGGCUCCUUAAGUCUGAUGUGAAAGCCCCGGGCUCAACCUGGGAAGUGCAUUGGAAACUGGGGAACUUGAAUACGGGAGAGGGUAGUGGAAUUCCUGGUGUAGGAGUGAAAUCCGUAGAUAUCAGGAGGAACACCGGUGGCGAAGGCGGCUACCUGGACCGAUAUUGACGCUGAGACGCGAAAGCGUGGGGAGCAAACAGGAUUAGAUACCCUAGUAGUCC
rnacentral:rRNA from 1 species